UACGUAGGGGGCUAGCGUUAUCCGGAAUUACUGGGCGUAAAGGGUGCGUAGGCGGUCUUUCAAGCCAGAAGUGAAAGGCUACGGCUCAACCGUAGUAAGCUCUUGAAACUGUAAGACUUGAGUGCAGGAGAGGAGAGUGGAAUUCCUAGUGUAGCGGUGAAAUGCGUAGAUAUUAGGAGGAACACCAGUUGCGAAGGCGGCUCUCUGGACUGUAACUGACGCUGAGGCACGAAAGCGUGGGGAGCAAACAGGAUUAGAUACCCGGGUAGUCCCUGA
rnacentral:rRNA from 1 species